ensembl:lncRNA
AGCAACCCACUCCAGUAUUCUUGCCUGGAGAAUCCCAUGCACAGAGGAGCAUGGCAGGCUAGUGCCCAUGGAGUCGCAAAGAGUCAGACACAACUGAGCACAGCACAAUCAGUUGAGACCUAUCUACUCUCCUGUAGGUUUUAGGGUUGCCAGAUAAAAUCAGGAUGCCUAGUUAAGUUUGAAUUUCAGAUAGGCAAUGCAUACAACUUUUAAUAUUUGCCCCAUGCAAUAUUUAAUAUAAGUAUGACCCCUAUGGCAUAGGACACACUUCUACACUAAAAGAAUUAUUCAGUGUUCAUCUGCAAUUCAAAUUGAACUAGGCAUCCAGGUUUUGAUUGAAUGAGACUCUUUUUAUUUGCUGAAUCUGGCAACUCUUUCUCUGAAUUCGAAACUCUCAGAAUUCUGCCCCCUCCCCUACCCCAACCAGCCUCUUUUUUUCGCUUUCUCAGUGGAGGUUCGGCCUCUCCUAGACCCAGGCUCUUUUUAAUUUUCCUCCUCCCCUGGUUUUUAUUUACUUUAGCAAAAUCAUACUGGGUAUCGAUUUCAAAGUCUUUGAUGUUAUACCGGAGACUCAGUUGAGGGUGCCUGAGCUUUAGGAAGGUUUCCUCAGGACACUGGGAGGAAAUUAAACCUCAGAAAAUAUGCUUGAUGUUUUUUCUUUCCUCCUGAAAAGAACGUCCGUGGGUUGGGCUCCGUUCUGGUCACGGGAGCGCAAACAGUGGAGUGAAGGCCAAAACCCCCGCUUCUCAAGUCUCCACCGGCUACNNNNNNNNNNNNNNNNNNNNNNNNNNNNNNNNNNNNNNNNNNNNNNNNNNNNNNNNNNNNNNNNNNNNNNNNNNNNNNNNNNNNNNNNNNNNNNNNNNNCGGUCCCGGCCCGUGAGUGAUUUAUCUCCAGCUGCACUGGCAGCUUUCCCAGGGUUUCCAUCCUCAGCUGAACUUAUUCAGGGAGGCCCUGAGCCUGCAGGCUCCAGGGAAUCCGAGAAGUCAGCGAGACUGGGGCUUCCCAAGCCGUACUGUGCACAUGGAUUCCCUGGGGAGCUUUCACCAGCCCUAGCGCUGGGGCUCGUGAACCCAGGAUCUCUGGACGUGGACCCAGGCAUCGAGAGUCAAGAGGAAAGAUGCUGGACUCACAUCUAUCAAGUGGAGGGAAACAUACAGCCGAGGAUGGUUAACGUGAACAUGAGAUGUGUUUGCGUCUGAAGACUGCAGCCCAAGACGCCCAUAGGAAGCCUCCAUCCUGGUGCCCGCUGGGCUAAGUUUGGAGCCAGGAGGGAAAUGGUUUGGCAGGAAGUCAACGAGCCAUGGGAGGAAGACGACAGAGUGGAGAAAGCAGACGUCUCACAGAGGGGCUGGGCCGAGGGGGUCUGAGUGGGCAGACUGGACAGGGCUCCAAAGACCCCCAGAAGUCCCUGCAAGUCCCUGGAGUCCAGGUGGGUCUGUGGCCUCCGUGGACUUUACUUGCUCUCCUCUGAGUUGCUCUUAGCAACUUUAGCUGGGGUGGAUUCCAGAAAGUUCUUUUCCCCAGCAGUUUUUCUCUCUGGUGUCGCUGGAGAGAGGUGAAGGCUAGCUGUGGGGAGGAAGGAAACCAUGGGGGUCCGGGGCUGGCAGGGAACGUUUGAACAUGUGUGUUGAGGGUUGACACUGCCAGGGCAGGAGACUUGAGGGGUGACGAGAGGUACCGGAGGACCAAAGGCUGGAGAGCUGUAAUGUGUGUAGGCCGUUGAGACUCAGCACCCGUGGCCCCUGGGACAGGUGGCCCAGGCCUGGAGGAGUCCAGUCCCCCGCUCCCCAAAGUCUCACGUUGUCCCUCCACCCUCACCCCAGCCACAGCUGCUCCGGCUCUUCUCCCCUAAAUCUCCCUCUCCUCCCAACCCAGCUAAACCAGCGUCUUUUGAGUUCUGGAAAAAUUCCUCUCCCCUUAACUAUGCCAUAAAAAGGCUGAAAGUUUUCCAAAAGGAACACUUAACUGAGACAUAGAAGGGAAAACCUGGGCGCAGAGAAACGGCUGAUGUUACAGAGUGCAGACCCAAGUCCAGCUCAACCGCACGUCUGGUGGGGGGUCGCUUGGUGGUGCAGGAGCCGACUGUUCUUGGAAUUCCUUGACUCAGUCCAGCCUAUGUGGUGGCCGCAAACACAGGCCGACUUCUCAGCGGAAAUGUGGCUGGUGGAGUUGAGGGGCUGCUUCCAGCCUUGAGGGACCUUCGAGUUGCUCAGAGGCUGAUGGGCCCAGGUCUUUGUCUGAGAAGGAGCUCUGCACCUCCACCCCAACCUGGGCUGACCCAGGCCCCUCUCAGCAGCCCUUCCUGACCCAGCCACCUCCUUGAGUCUUGUCCUGGCCCUGCCUCCUUCAUUCUUCUCUUGGAGGUGACUGGCUCCUGGCUUAGGAGAGCCCACUACCCCUCUCCCCACACUACCAAUCUCUCUCUGCCUGGCCAGUUUGCCAGAAGCAUGUUCCCUGGGUUUGGGGCUGGCUCCAGGGUGGAGCAGUGGAGUGCACUGGGCCCUCCAAUGGGUCUCUCCAUUUCCAAGCCUGCAUCACCUUUGGGGUCCCCUAAGUGUCUGGUUUCUGUCUUGAGGGAUUGAACUUGUCCAUGAGGGAGACGUGGCUGAUAUACCCAAAUGUAAAGUGUGUUAUUUUUCAAAAUAGGUAAAACAUCUACAUGUUAGUAUAAUCACACAUGAAACAUAAGUGGCUUCAUCCCUCUAUCCCUUCUUCUUCUCUAGAGAGAACCACUACCUGUGUCUUCCAGAGG